rnacentral:rRNA from 1 species
AUGUUGAUUCUUCAAAAGAUCUUUUUCGUGCCUAAUGAUUUUGCUGAUGAGAAUGCUAUGUCUUUGGAUUUCUCUGGUGACGAUGAAGAGUUUGAUAAAGCCCUUUACAAUUUCUAUUUGAAUAAUAAAGUCAAGUACCUAAAAAGGAAAUUAUCAUCUGGUUGUAGAAGGAAUGUUAGGCAGAAACGAUCUUCUGAUUCCCUGUUUGUUCAACAUUCACUAGAUAUUCUCGAAAGUUCUUCUCAAGAGUUGUUGAUGGCAUGUGUCCUAGGUAAAAGGGUGUUAUUCAGAAUUAUGGCUUGGGUUGUCUCCUCAAUUUUGUCCAUUCCGAGGUUCCUCUUAGGCUUAUUGAGUGGCUUUGCAUCUAGGUUUGAUGUUCCUGCUUCUGAGUUUCAGUUGAAAAGGAAAUUCAUCCCCUUAACUAAGUAUGAUAUCCAUGGCAUCCUUGACCUCCCAGUAGAUGGUGAGCCACUUGUUUGUGAUCUUGAGGCUCGCCGUGAUUUUAUCCUCUUUCAUUUCAAUCUUACCAGUAUCCCUCCAGUGUCCUAUUUCGCCAACAAGCUUAAAUCUGUUGAAGUUGACUUGUCUGAUGAGGACAUCUUCAUUUGUUUCAUGAUUGUUGCUUUCUCUACUUUCCUUUGUCCCAACUCUAGCCUCUUCGUUUACUGCCCUCAUCAUGCUCCUCUCCUGACACAUUUGAAAAGAAAAUGUCAGUGUUAG